AGAUUGCAGUAGAUUAUUCCCUUUCUGUAACUUAUUUCCAUUAUGUAUUGGACCGUUUUGUUUUAACUCUGUAUUAAACUUGUUUCUGUAUUUAGCAAAUUUCCAAUAUUGCUUCUGGAAUUGUAUAUUCGUAUUGAUGGAGAUCCGAUUAUGUCUUGCUAUGGAUUUCAAUUCCCUUCACAUUCUUGAUUCGCAUUGUACCGUGAUAUCAGUCCCUUAA